CAUUUUAUUUUGUAAUAUACAUCAAUUCCUGCAUUUCAGACCUGCAACCCUUUCCAAAAAACAGCUGGGAAGAGGGCAGUUUAGGGCUAGUAAUGAGAUAAAAUAAAAGCAUGA